GACAAACUGUAGCAACCCUGACUUAACACACAGAGCUGGACACCUGCGCCUGCGGUCCUUGAAUAUCCUAGGACAAGACUGAAGGCUGGUUUUCUACACAUUGGCUCUUAAGACUACCACACCUAACUCUAGCAGGCCAGCUCUGGCCCUCGACAUGACCGUGCGGCCCAGCUUCCCCAGGCCCAAGACAACUUUAAGAAUCCAAUCCCACUCGCUAUCCUAAACUCCAUGACAACCUGAUACAGGAAGGACUAUCCUGCCCAACGUCUCAGCCUUGUCCAAAUCCACUUGACAAGAAGUGCGAGAACAGCUUGUGAAUACCCUUCCAAUACUCCAGCUGAAGUAAGACCGUUCUGCCUGGCAAGCUUACCUCAUGCAGGGCUCGCCUGCAAGCCUAGCAGGAACCUUCCUUCUACUACAAGAUGAUUAGGACGCUUCUAUUCUUCCUACUGUGCCUGGGCAGCUAGGUGAGGUGCCCGGCUCCUUUUACCCUUGCCACUUUUGCAGAACACCCUUGGAACCCUGGGUGACACUCUGUAAGGGUCAAGCUCCAUCUUUCUUAGAGUUAACAGAGAAUGUGGUCUCUCCCCCCUGCAGAGGCGGAGGGAAGAGGUGUACCAAAGAAAACUUGCUUUAUAAAGUUCUGGCGGAGACUCAAUGGACCCUGGGCCCGGCUCUGCAGGGGCUUUUGAUCGCCCCCUCUAGAAAGCUCAAGUUCGUUGGCCGAGACCGGAGCCUACAAGGAGGACCGACCCCACCGGCUCCACGCCGCGGGCACCCGAGGCAGACAAAGCCCAGCGCCGCUCGGCGGGGGGUCGCGGGUGGGAGGAGAGCCCCGGGGGUGGGGGAGGGCCUUCAAGGAGCAUGCGCGCUCACGUCCGCGCGGCACGGCCCCCACCAUGCCCCGCGCGCACCGGCCGGCCGACCGCGCAGGGCGCACACGGAGCAUGCGCGCAGCGCGCCAGGCCCCGCCCCCCCGGGGCGCCCGAGCCGCAGCGGCGGGAACCUCAAAGCCCCGGCGCGAGCCGGCUGCUCCCCGCGGACCGCCCUCCCCCCCCCAGGAGGAAGAGACGUGGGGGGUGUGGGAGAAAGGGAGGGAGGAGGGGGACGGACGUGCGGGGGAGGGAAGGACUGACAGCCCCCGCGCGGCCGCGCACACCCGGUUCCCCCCCGGCCCGGGACCAGCUCCCCUGAGUUUCCCCCGCGCGCUGUGGGGGAGGGGCGGGGCGUGACCCCACGGCGCCCCUCCCCCCCAACCGCCAACCGCCCGCGCCCCCGCCCCACUCACGACGCGCUCCUUCGUGUGUUCGGGCUCCGUGAUGAUCGCAGCCGCUCCGGACGCCUUGCCCGCCGUCGCCGGCCUGGCUGCGCGCUUGCCGCCGCCGGGGGCCCCGUCCAGCUCCGGGCCGUCCUCGUCGCCGCUGCUGCCGCCGCCGCUGCUGCUGCUGCAGCGCUCGGGCCGCUCGCGCUUCCUGCCCGCGGGGCCGCCGCGCCGCCGGGGCCCGGCGCGCGCCGUGCCGUUGCCCGAACUCGGCUCCUCCCAGGCCGCCCCC